CCCUAUUAUUUAUUUCCCCUGUCAUUUUUGACACAAUCCAAAAAGACGUGUAUAAAUAUCACACACACACACACACUUUCCUCACGAACCUGAAGCAAACACCUCACCUCAUCUCUUCCUUACACAAACAAAAAAUUAGUGGAGAGAAUUUCAUUCAUAAUCCCCACACUUGUAAUACCAUUUAAGUUUUACAACAAUUUUUUUCCUAAGAAUAAAGAAAGAUGAGACGCUACGACGACGACGACGACGAUCUCUCGCGGGCUAUCGACGAUCUCUAUGCCCUCCUCUCGGCCGUCCUCCGCCGGCCCCAGCGCAAGGCGUCGAACGGCGGCACACCGCCGCCGCUGGCAGGGUUGGCGGGGCUGCUGCUCGGGGCUUCUUUGACGCUCGUGAUCGGAGGGUCGCUGUUGCUCGUGAUCGGAGUCGUGCUGAUGCCGGUCUUGGUGGCGGUCAUCUUGGCCGGAAUCUUCUCGACCAUCUCGGAGAGGGGGAGGGGAAUCAUCUCCCCCUCCAAGAUGCCUCACAAGGAGGUUUAAAGGAAUUGAAGAACACAAGUGAUCGAAGUUUAAGCUCCCUAACAUGUGAUGGAAAUAUGAAGAUCUGUGAAUCAUAUACUGCUAAUCGCAUGUUCGUUUUCCUGCGACAAUUUUUUUUUUCUUUUUUUAGAGGACAAGACAAAGAAGUUAAAUGAGGAACGGGGGAAAAGAGAGAGAAAAGAAACGAAUAAUAAUAUAGAAAUGAUAUAACAGUAAUGUGGCGAUUCGCUUCUUCCAUCUUUUGGUUUGGAGUGAAUCAUUGUAGUUAUUUGAUUGCAAUAUUGUAGCUAGGGAGGUGAGUUGUACACAUCUUGUCCAUACAAAUAUAUAAAUUGGCGGUUUCUUAGGUAUUUUAUAUUUUGAAUUU